AAGUGUGACAUCAGCGGUCAUGGAGAGUCUCCAUCCAGCUGGAUCACUGUCACAGACAAACACACCACCACACCUCCACCUACAUCCACACCUCCACCUACAUCCUCUGCUCCUAGCUCAACCUCCAUCAAUCUUUCUCCAUCACGCUUUCAUCCUGUAAUUCCUGUGUUGUCAUCAGUCUGUGUUGUGGUUCUACUGGUGUUACUGGUUCUGAUGGUGAGACGAUGUGUUCACAGGAAACCUGAAGCAGAUCAAGCAGAAGUUGGAGAAGAUGACAUCAUCACUCAUGUCAUGUACAACACUGUCAAGAUAACAACAACAGCCAAUCUGAUGAAGCAGAGGUCAUAUUUGAGUUUACAUAUUUUCUUCAAGCCAGGUUUAAUAUAGUAAAGAUAUUUGUUAGUGUUUUUUUGUUUUUUGUUUUUAUCACUAAAGCGAGCUAAAUCUGUUAGUCUUUGGGGGCUGACUCACUAUUGAUGCUUCAAGAGGACAUUAGAGGAACUGCAUCUGCUUAUUUUUGAGAUUUGUAUCUUUGUACUUGUUUUAGUCUUUACUUCAGUUUGAUCUGCCAUAAAUAUAAUUUCAGCAGAAAUUGUAUUUAACUUACUGUUGAAUUGCCACUAAAUAAAUAAAUCUCAAUGGAAGCUGUGUAACGCACUACUUCACACAGAUGAGGGACGUGAUUUCCAAAAACGGAGCGAGUGAGUGAGAGUUGCUUCUAGAAGGACUUCAGUGCAGUUUCCCAGUUGGGAAGUGAGGCCAUACAACAAAAUGUGACAGUCUUUAUUAUGAAGAUGUUUUCUUUGUCAUUUUCUUCUUCGUGUAUCUUAAACUGAAUUUAAUAUGAGGGCAGAAUCAGAUAUAGGUUUUUGAAGCCUGAUCUUGACUUUAAUUAUAUGAUUUUACUAUAGAGCAUGUGAGGGAUGAUCAGAAGUAUAUAGUGAUGUAUAGUAAAUGUGGAUUCUAGGAAAGUAAAUUGACAUUUUCCUGAUUUAGUGUUAUCAAAACUGGAAUUCACAAUAUUCAAGUUUUUAUUUUUUGUGAUAUUUGAUCAUCUUUUUCAGAUGUAGUCAUGUGUUUAACUCUGUACUUACUGAUUGUUGUUCACUGUGAGCUGGACUGUGUGUUUGUGGUCUGUGGUUAACUGAAGCUAACAGCUCUGCAGUCGUCCAGCAUCCUGUUUCUGAUAGAAAGAAAAAAAAAACACUUCAGAAAGUCUGUCGAAGAGAUUUGAAAAGAUGAAGAUCAAAGAGGAUUGUGGACCUAAGAGCAGGCGCUGACAACUUACCGAGUGAGGGUUUUUUUGUUUUGUUUUUUUAUAGUGGGAAGCAACAUAUAAACCAAGCCAGGAAAUGGCUAUAACUUAAACUAAGAAAAACCUAAACUGGGAAAGCUAACAAGGAACAUUCAACCAGCGACAAAGAUCUAAGAAAAACUUGAAAUACAGAGGGAACAACAGGGGAAGACAAGCAGACAAACCAGCAACAAGCAGAGGAAAACUCACAGGGCUUAAAUACACAGGCAGGACGACCAGAGGAUGGGGAACACAGCUGGAAUUGAUCUGACAGAACGAGACAAAGGAAGCAAAGCAGAAUACACUGACAUAGGACAAGGACUAUCAAAAUAAAACAGGAAGCACAAGACAGAAAGACACAGACUCAGAGACAUGACACAUAGACAUAUAAUAUGCACAGAAAACCACCAUGAAUGACAAAUAAUCAAGCAAUAUAACAAUGGGUCAUAGACCCAGUACUGUGGCAGAGACACAUAACACUUGUCACAUGGUUUUAAUUUAUUUAAACACCCUCACUCAUACUUUCCUUAAAUGCUAACCUGUUUUACAGCUGUUGAUUUUAAAAAGAGGAAAGAAGAUGUACACAGAGUAUAGUUCUAGCUUUUUGCUUGUGUUUAAUGGUAGCAUUAGUUGGUCCCUGCAGCCCAUUCAGGUAGUUGAGCACCUUCAGGAGGGCAGAUUUACAUGUGCUGUAACAAGGUUUGCUUUGUUCAGUGUUAUUCAUGUAGUGCCCAAUUAUAACAAAGCCUCACAGACUCCAGUAGGUAACAUACCAGGAGAUGAGACAAAGCAUCAGCCCAGCAGCAGUACUGACUUUUGCUCCUUUGUGUUCCUAUCAGAACCUUUCUAAACUCUCACUGGUAUCAGGUGCUGACAUUACUUUAGUGGGACCUGUGCUCACAACCCAGCACUGUACAGAUCAGAGUUCAGAGGUUGUCUGAACAGUGACAAGAACACCAGGAAAAAGCAAAACUGAGAAAAAUCAGUCAGACAUCAGAGCAAUGAC